CCCAGCUGUAACUGCCUAGGUUUUGUUGUACCUUAGGCAAGUGUUACACUGCUGGGAGAAAAGCAGCUAGUAGCUGGUGGGCAUUCAGGGCCUGGUUAAGGCCAAAUUUGUGUUAUCGAUACUAGUGUCCCAGCAU
rnacentral:snoRNA from 1 species